GUAAAUUUUUAUAGUCGAGGGAUUUUUAAAAAUUUAGCCUCUUGGGAAGUAGAGGUUUCUUUUUGAAGCCGGCCGAAGGGAUAAUGUAAAUUUCUGCCACAGGCAACGUCGAAGGAAACAGAUUUGAGGCUCCCUCACAGAGCUGUUUGCGUGCGUUUUACACACCCUCUUCCAGAACCAAAACCAAGUGGCUUGAAUGUGGCAAUUGUCCAAGGCCAAUAGACAGGAUUUCAUGCGCAAACUACAGCCUAGAAGAAAUCCUAUGCAUAGAAUUACUUAGGGAAUAUACAGUCCACGUGGCAAAUGAGGGUAAGCAAUUUAUUGACUCUGUGGUUUAAAGCCUUCUUUAGUGACUGUUUUGCCUAAGUGGUUUUGCUUUUUAUUGUCUCACGUUCCUAAAUGUACAGCUGUGUAUAUUUUGGCCUUUAUGUGUGGUUUGGUUGGUGUGUUCAGAAGGGAAGUUCUCUCUUGGCUUUUUGACAGAAAUGGUCGUUUAUAGGUUGGGAUUUGUUUGAAUAACUCCACAGCUGGCAAAAUAUCAGGAAAAUAAUCCAGUCAAGUCCAAUUCUCUAAAACCGGUCUUGAUGGUGAUGAUGGGGGAGGGGCCAAGAGGAGGCAAAGGCAAAUAAUACAUAGGAGGGAUAAGAAAUGCAUUUGGUUACCAUGUUGCGUUUUUUGGAAUGAAAAACGUUCUCCCUAAGAUAAGCGUCAUGGACAGAAGUGUAUAAAUUAGAGGGCAAGGCUCAGAGAAGUACAUCCAGUUACAGGAGCCAUUUUCUCCCUUAAUUCUGUUAUAGAACCACUGUCUCCUAUUAGGAGUCAUACGGAAAGCGUAUUCAAAUCUGUAUGGGCAGAUUGGAGUGAAAGGAUAGAAAAUAUACGGGGUGAUAAGGGAGAAACUAGAAUGUCACAAAUUAAAUAGUGACCACGAGAUAAAACAAGGAUCUACUGUAGAGUUCAAAUUUGAG
ensembl:lncRNA